GAAAUGCGAUAAGUAAUGUGAAUUGCAGAAUUCAGUGAAUCAUCGAAUCUUUGAACGCACAUUGCGCCCGCCAUUAUUCUGGCGGGCAUGCCUGUUCGAGCGUCAUUUCAACCAUCAAGCCCCCGGGCUUGUGUUGGGGACCUGCGGCUGCCGCAGGCCCCGAAAACCAGUGGCGGGCUCGCUGUCACACCGGGCGUAGUAGAUUUUUCGUCUCGCCCAGGGCGUGCUGCGGGUUCCGGCCGUUAAAAAGCCUCUCUUUUUAACCCAAGGUUGACCUCGGAUCAGGUAGGAAGACCCGCUGAACUUAAGC
rnacentral:misc_RNA from 1 species